rnacentral:lncRNA from 1 species
CGAACCGUGUCUCGGGAGCGUUAGAGAUGGAGACUAACGUCUUCCAAGGGAGAUUGCGUCUCCACUUUCACCCUGGUACUGAGAGGUUGAGCACAAAAUUGAUUGGCCUGGGGUACAUCAUCUAAAGAUCCUAGGAUUGCUGCAGGUCAGCAGUCUCCACUGGAAAAAAAGAUCUUGCAUGUAUUUCAAGUCCUCUGAUGAAUCAUGUGAUCUACUAGACCCUGAAGAUACAGUGAAGAGCAAAAGAACACAGAUGAAAUGAGAAACAAAAACGAUGGAGAAAACCAAAAAAGGGGACACAUGGGAUCCAGGCAAUAGGAGAGCCAGCAUAAGAGAGAGCCAGAGGGAUGCCCAGGAUGAGGUGAAGACGAUCUUGGAAAUCAGCCCAGAUGUGCAUGCACCAGUCCACGUGUGGCAGGACCAAGGGAAGUGUCUUCACAAAGAUGAGGCUUUGAUUUGUUGGAGAAACUGUUACCAGAAAAACAGGUCCCGAUCCCGACCCCAAAAGAGUAUUCUUGGAUCUUGCACAGGAAGGAAUUAAAGGUCUAGCUCUGUCUCCUCAGCACAUGUUCUAGGCUCUGACUGCAAGUGCUGACUUGGGCUCCCAGCCCCACACAGACCCUCUGUUCCAUGAAAGGGCCAUCUAUGCAAAGUGCCCCCCAAAUGCCAAAGGAGCCAAUAAACCAAGGAACAAGACAGACAAAUCUAGUUGUCAGUAAAGAGUGUUUUAUUGGGGAACUUACAGACAGAAGCGUGGUCUUGGAUGGCAGGAAGACAGGUAGGUUUCUGCACUUAUUACCCCCACACCCAGGGCUUAUAUACCACAGGGGAAGAGUAUACAUGCUCUGUGCAAGACAAAGGCUACUACUGUCCAGAACAGGUAAGAAUGCUAAUGUGUCAUAGCCUAGAAUUUGUAUAACAUCAAGGUUGACAUGUUCUUACAAUAGGGAUGGUAAAUAAAGUGGGAAUCAGGAGUCAGUCCUGGGACUGGGGCUAAUCAGAAGUCAGCAUAGAGAAUUAGCAUCCAAGAGGGAGUCACUUUUCUCUCCACAUCCCAGCCCUCUAAUCCAGCUCUUACAAUCUCAUGGACUCACAUUUCCCCCAUAGUCCCUGAGCCUUCAGAGAGGGCUGUGGGUGACAUUUUGAUGGUGUGAGUGACACAUUUUAUCAAUUUGUUUUCUACUUGUUAAGCAGGGGCCACAGCAACAACACAAACAACAGGCGAUGAUAUGUAUGCCAGGUGUAAGACACAGAAUUAAAAAUGCCCUUUACCAUGUUUAUUCAGGAACCAAACCAAGAGGUAUAGAGCAGAACAACAAUAGGAACAGAAGACUAUGGGUGGAAUUAAAAAUGUUUAGUAGGUAUUUGGUGGGGCAGUUCUUCCCCAUUAAACAGAAUUACUGGUAGCUCCAUCUCUGUUGAUUAGGAACAUAGGAUUGUGGGCUGGGAGUACACACCAAACAUGUUGCCUGAGGGGCAAAGGCGCUGGUAUUAUGUGUAAGGUUACAGGGGCAGCAAAGGACCAUGUCAAAUGGCCAGCCAGGGUGCUUCUUAAAAGGGACUGUGUUCCAGUUUAUUGGUAUGUGGAGUGUUUUGGCCCAGACUUCAGCAGGAUCAAUGGAGACCACUUUAGUUGGUAGGGAAUUCCUUGCUGUCUGGAAAGAAAUGCUCUAUCCAACAUAGGGGAAGUUGCUAGUCCAACCCCCAUUCAAGUGUCUCCUCCCUGGCUCAAGAUCUUGAGGAGUUCUAAAUAACCUUUGCCAUUGGCCUUUUAUCUGCUCAGGUCAGAGAUGCAUCUGGUUGGACUUUCUUUACUAUUAUGGUUAAUGGAUCCAUCUCUGUGGUGGUCCUGAGUCAUUGGUGUGGUGCCAGCACCAUAUUUGUCUCAACUAAAUUAAGGUUUCUAAUGGCUUGAGGCAAAAUCUUUGUCUAACUAUGAAAGAUAUUGGAUUUUGAGAGUGCUCAAAACUGUGCCUUCAAAAUACCAUUUUUCCUUUCAAUCAACCCUGUUGCUUGGGGGAGUAUACAGUAAGUGAAAUACCCAGUCUAUGUCCCUUUCAUGCAUCCAGUCUUGGACACCGUGUCUGGUGAAAUGCAUGCCUCGAUUGCUAUCAAUAUGUGGAGGGUAUCCUUACAUGACACUGAGUUGCUCCAAGCCCCUGAUGGUGGCUGUUUGGUUUGCUCUUACAAGGGAAAGCUUGCAACAAUCCCAUGGCAGUGUAUACACAUGUUAGUGCAUACUUUCGUCUCAAGAUUACUGGCAAGGGUCUGAUGUAGUCUAUCUACCAGUCUGUCACAGGGGUGGCUGUCUUAUGUAUAUGUCCAGGUGUAUGUGGGAUGUGGCAGAGGUACAGACGGGAACAAAUUAAGCAGUUUGCUACCGCCACCACUAAAUCUGCAUAGCAGAGAGCCAAUCCUGCUCCCUUUGCUAUUUGGCAGCCCAUUCAUGCACUGAAAUCCCCACUGUGAUAUGUACCUAAUCAACUAGCUCAGUAUUCUAAUUUUUGCUAGGAUGUCUGCCUCCAUGUUUCUGGGAGGUGAAUCUGACCAGUGUGCUGAAGCAAUUAGGUCCACAGUGGGUUCCUGUAGACUUUUCCAAAUGUCUUUCCACAUAUCAGCUCCCCAUAAGGAUUUUUAAAUUAUAUACCAAUCAUCUCAGGCCCUUUGGGCAAGCCAAAUUGUAAGACCCUUAAGUACUGCCAGACUGUCUGUACAGAGAACUAUAGGUGGUGGCUCACGGGUACAAACCAACCAUGUAGCUUGGAGUUCUGCCCAUUGACUGCUCUGUUGCAUUCCCAUCUCAAACCAGAUACUGUCUGUGGUUGUGCAGCUACUACUGUCCAUACACAGGGUUACCUUGGCUCAAUGCAUCUAAGUACCAAGCAUUAUCAGGAAUGAGGGCCAUGCCUUCAUGUACCAUUGGAGACAUCUCCUGUGAGGGCUCCACAAUAGGGGCAGCACUGGACUCAUAAUGUACUGGCCCUAAGAUAGCAUGCAGUUCAUCUCUUAAGGGAUGCAUGGAGAAGGCACUAUGUUGUUGCAUGUAUGCAUGGCACUUUUGUAAAGUGGAAACUUGGGCAAUAGCUGAUACAGGCCUGGCAAACACUCCUACCCAGUCCUUGAUAGGAAACCUGUUCUCCCUGGUACCAGGAAAGCAGCAGUUAUGGAUUCAACUUGUGGCAAGACCUUCUAUAUCCCCAGGACCUGUUAUUCAACUGGGAAAUAGCAGGUUUCAGUACCCUUCCAUUAAUUGUGACUAAAAUUCUAAAGGAACUGCUUCCCUAUGCUGGACUUUAUAUUUUCAUCAUCCAAAAUUAUAGUUUAGUUUUACCUUUAAAAAUAUGUUUUUUGUUCUCAUUUGUUCCAUAGGUUUCUCCUUGAAAUUUAUAUUGUAUGGUAAGGUUUCCUAUUGUUUGCAUUUUGUGGAUUGCACGCCAAGGUGUGGUUUAAUGUAUUUCUAUUACCUGUAUUUUCUGUAAAUUGGUAGUUUGGUAUAGAGGUUUGUGUACAUUCAGGGUUUUUUUUUUUCUGUAAGUAUUGAUGGUUCUGUAAAAGGAAAAUAAAAUCUUGGGGCCCCAAAAUUACUAAGCUAAAGGGAAAAGUCAAGCUGGGAACUGCUUAGGGUAAACCUGCCUCCCAUCUGUUCAGAGUCGCCCCUCUGCUCACUGAGAUAAACACAUGUCUGAUUCCCUCAUUUGGAAAGGCUAAUCGGAAACUCAAAAGAAUGCAACCAUUUGUCUCUCAUCUAUCUGUGACCUGGAAGCCCCCUCCUUGCUUCGAGUUGUCCCGCCUUUCCAGACGGAAUCAAUCUUUAGCUUACAUAUGUUGAUCACUGUCUCAUGUCCCCUUAAAAUGUAUAAAACCAAGUUGUGCUCUGACCACCAAAGUUGUGCUGAGAAGUGACACCAAAGAACAUGGUGGCAUAAGAACUCCAAGGACCCCUCCCCUCCACAGCGGCAAUGUGCUUGUUGAAACACCAGUAUAAAAAAACUCGAUGAGAGCUGUGAUUGGAUUUAGUGUUGAUAUAUUUUUUGUAAAUUGUGGUAAAACAUGCAUACUAUAUAAUUUACCUUCUAACCAUUUUUUCAGUGUACAAUUUGGUGGCAGUAAGCACAUUUACAAUGUUGUGUAACCACCGCCAAUAUCCAUUUCCAGAACAUUUUCAUCAUCCCAAACAGAAACUGUACCCAUUAAACCAUAACUGCCCAUUCUCCCUACCCCCAGCCCCUGGUAAUCUCUAUUCUAUUUUCUGUUUCUAUGAAUUUGCUUAUUCUAGCUACUUUAUAUAAGUAAAAUAUCAUAUUUGUUUUUAUUUCUGGCUUAUUUCACUUAUAGUGUUUUCAAGGCUCAUCCAAUUAGAAUUUCAUUCACUUUUAAGGCUGAAUAAUAUUCCAUGCUUAUGUGCACCGUGGGUUGUUUAUCCAGUCAUCCUCUGAUGGACACUCGGUUGCUUCCACCUUUUGGAUAUUGGGUAUAGUGCUGCUAUGGGCCUGAGUGUACACAUAUCUGGGUGAGUUCCUGCUUUCAGUGCUUUUGGGUAUGCCCAAAAGUGGAAUUGUUGGCUCAUAUAGUAAUUCUAUUUUUACUUUCUUGAGGAAUCACUAUUCUGUUUUCCAUGGUGGCUGCACCACUGUAUACUCUCACCAGCAGUGUACAAGUGUUCCAGUUUCUCCAUAUCUUCACCAACACUUGGCCUAGUGAAGUUUACCAUAUUUUUAUGUCCUUAUUGGCAUUCCUUUUUUUUUUUUUUUUGUGAAACAGAGUCUUGCUCUGUUGCCAGGCUGGAGUGCAGUGGCACAAUCUCGGCUCGCUGUAACCUCCACUUCCCAGGUUCAAGUGAUUCUCCUACCUCAGCCUCCUGAGUAGCUGGGACUACAGGUACCUGCCACCAUGCCCAACUAAUAUUUGUAUUUUUUUGGUACAGACGGGGUUUCACCAUGUUGGCCGGGAUGGUCUUGAUCUCUUGACCUCGUGAUCCGCCCACCUCGGCCUCCCAAAGUACUGGGAUUACAGGCAUGAGCCACCAUGCCUGACCAGCAUUCCUUAUUUUUAUGUCCUUAUUGUAUAUCUUCUUUGGAGAAUUGUCUAUUCAUGUCUUUUACUUAUUUUUGAAUGAGAUUGUUUUGCUAUUGUUGAAUUGUAGUUCUUUACAUAUUCUGGAUAUUAAUUCUUUAUCAGAUAUGUGAUUGGCAAAUAUUUCCUCCUGGUCUGUGCAUUUUCUUUUGAUUCUCUUAAUAGUGUCCUUUGAUGCAAAAAAGUUUUUAAAUUUUGAUGCAUUCUAAUUUGUCAUUUUUCUUAUAUUACUUGUACUAUUGGUCACCAGCCAAGAAACCACUACCAAUUCUAAUGUCCAUAAGAUUUUCCUCAGUAUUUUCUUGAGGGUUUUACAGGUUCAAUUCUUAAGAUUAGUUCUUUGAGUCAUUCUGACUUAAUUUUUGAAAAGGGUGUAAUGGAAGGACAUGAAUUUUUUCCAGCAUCAUUCUUUUGCAUGUUGAUAUCCAGGUUUCCAGCACCAUUUGUUGAUGCACCAUCUGUUGCAGUGGGGCUGACACAUUUGUAAGAUGCAGUGAGCAUUAAUACAUGGGAGCACCAUGCAUUUAUUUACCUGUCUUUACUUCACAGUUGUUUUGAGAAGGCUUUCACUGACAGACUCAACAGAAAUGAAUAUAUAUGACUUCUUAUAAAAUCAUAUUCAAGUAAAAUUAUAAAUUUUAAAAUGUUAAGACUGGAGCAAGACUGGAACAUCACUAGACAAGCUGAAACAUAGGCUGAAAUGAAGGGUUAUGUUUACCUUGCUACAAAUUCUGUUGGCCCACAAUCUCUUAUGCUUAUUGCUUAAGAGAGCCACAGAGUGGGGUGAUAGCUCACAUAACCAGUCCCUGGUUUUCUGCUUCAGAAAGAAGUUUAAAUAUUCUGCUUAGACAGAGUAAGGAAAUUAACUGAAAGAUGUCUAAUGUGAAGUUGGCAUCUACAAAGUGAAGGAGUGAGUAGUAAGUGUAAACAUCAGGAAUCCCAGGAGAUUCUAUCUUUUUGCACGGAAAUGGCCUCACUAUGCACUGCUGAAGGGAGAAGGUCCCUUCAGGGGACCUUCAUGAUGAAGAAGAACACAAUAUGAUAUAGGAAUUUUCUGCUGCAGCCCUAAACUGAAUUGUCCUUCUCUCUAACUACAGGUCUCACAAAGUUUUAUAGCUUCAAUGAUUUCACCUGGGCCAAGAUUUUGGUUUUUUUUGAUGUUAUUUGUUUGAACUGCUGCCUGGGGCUUAGAAAAGUGACUUGGAUAUUUUGUCAAAAUGGAUUUUCUUUGAUGGAAUGUGAAAUCCGUAAACACUCUGCUUUCCUGCUGUAUCCCCAGAGCAGGUUGAGUACCUUGCACUUCUUCUCAGCACUUCGCUAGAAGUGGUAGAAGAUUUGGAGUUAGGGCCUCCCUCAAUCCCUACCCUUUCUUUAAUUCAGAGGAUCACAAACUGUUGGGAGAAGAGUGGUAUCUUGGGCCUCUAGCUGAUCUGAUGAAUAUUAAUAUCCAAUGUCCUGUAGUGAAGUCAUGUGUGCGUGUAACAUCACUUCUUCACGCAGUGUCAUAGGAAAGUGGGUUCCUGGACCCCAGGUUAAGAGCCUAAGCACUAAAGGCACAGAGCUAGAGCUCUAGGAGGGGAGGGAUGGCUGGGGUGGAACCUCGUCUUGUCAUUUAGUCCUGGGGCCUUUUCACUCCUUACAUGGUGGGUGGUGGGCGUCUGGCAGGUGCCGAUGUUGAUGGAGUCAAGGGAGGGAACUAGCCGGGACAGGGAAAAACAGGGUUGGAGAGAUAAUUAAGGUGGACGUUAUUUUUUCUGAGCGUAAGUCGUGGCUGGAAAUCUGGAGAGCCUGAAAGAGUAUCCCCCUACCCAAACCUGUUUUUUCCUUUUCCCUCAAGCCUCAUUUGGCCACAGGCCCAGUGUCAACACCAGGGGGCGCCACAGACCAUGAAGGCACCGUGCAGCUGGGAUUGUUUGUGGUCGGCUACUGGGUCCCUGACUUAACCAGGGGAGCCAAGACCCUGUAGCCAAGUGGCCUGGAUUCAACCUGCAGCUCAGGUCUUACUGACACUUCUCCCCCUGGUGCCUCAGUUUCUUAAUCUGUGAAAUGGUGAGGACAUUACAGCAUUUACCUCUGGGGCGGGUUUCUCAACAGCAGCACUAUUAACAAUUUGGGACAGAGAAUCUUGUGGAGUGGUCUGUCCUGUGCAUUGUGGGAGGUUUGCCAGCAACACCCCACUCACCCCCUCCCACCAAUCCCCAUGUGACAACCGAAAAUGUCCCAGGAUUUUUAGGUCUCCCUUGGGUCUAGAAGCUGCACUUAGGCAUUUUCCCACCUGACACUUGAGUUCAUCUCUGCUUUGGUCCACAUAAGGCCACUUUAAAAAAAUGUUGUUUCUUUAAAGAUUCUAACCAUCUUUUAAACAAAUCCAUUUUCUUCCUCUAUUUCUGCAUUCAGUUAAUCCUUCCAAACCCUUUGUUUAGUAUAUCUUGAAAUGUAUCAAUUCCUGUUCUAGUAAUUAACAUAUGUGACUUGCAUGAUAUCUGCUAUGACCCUUAGUAGAGCUCUGAUUCCUUUAGCACAGGGAAUGUGUUCUCGAUUCUGCUCUGGAUGAUGUAAAUCAAUUUAUUUUACUUUACUUGUCUGGGAUGUUGCUCCUCAUCUGUAAGAUGUAAAUGUGGAUAUGGCUUGGAUUACUAAGUGGUUUUAUUUCUUAAUUCACCUGACAUUUGUUGUGUGCCUGCUGCAAGUCAAAUACAUGGCAUGGUAUUGUUUCCUUGUUCACACCACAGCAAAUGAGAAAAUGAGACAUUAUAGCCAGGUGUGGCGGCACAGGCUUGUGGUCCUAGCUACUCGGAAGGCUGAGGCAGGAGAAUUGCUCCAGCCCAGGAGUUUGAGGUUACAGUAAGGUAUGAUAUCACCAUUGCAUUUCAACCUGGGCAACAGACCCUGUCUCUGAAAAAAGGGAAAAAGACCUUGUGAGCUGUCUACGUGUACUCUAUGUCUCAGGAGACUCAUAUCCUGUAAUUUUUCUAAAUGGCGUCUCCAUGUGGUCUUUCAUGAAUGUUUGUCUGGUAUUCUCUAUCCUUUUACUUUCAACUUUUCUUUACCUUCUACUGAAAUUAUGUCUUUUGUAAACAGCCCAUGAUUAUUUAUUUAGUUAUUUAUUUUUACCCCCCUGCACUAUUUGUCUUGUAAUUGGAGUGUCUGAGUCCAUUAUGUUUAAUGUAAUUAUUGACCUCAUUGGGUUUAAGUCUGUCCAUUGUCAUUUGCUGCCUUCUAAUAUUAUCUCUUUCUUGCUCAACUAUUUUUCUUAUGUUACCUUCUUUAGAUGAAUAAAAACCUUUGCAUUAUUGUAGUCUUCUAAGUGUCCUAAUUACACAUUCUCUUAUUAUUUCUUUAAUUAUCUGAGAAAGCAUAAUGAUCUGUGACUUAUUAUAACCAAUAGCAGACCACAACUUCCCUGACUUUCACCUACCUGUGCCCACAGCCCAGGGGAGA